AUGACGUCAUCAAGGCUUGUUGUUGAUUGGCUGUUUUCAUGCUUUGUGCCAGCCUUGGCUUGAAGUGCUGUGGAUGUAGGACUGAAUCAGACAUGCUCUGUCCUUAGACGUCCAGGAGAGCAGAUGGUAACCAAGCUGCUGGCAGACACAUAAUUCAGCAACAACAUGAGCUGGGACAGCAGCAUCCUAAGAUUUUCCUGACUGUUAGAAUGCUCACCCGAGGCUUGGUAAAUUAGUUUUGUUUUUUCUUUUAAGGGAAGAUCAUGGUAAUAUGCAUUGUCACAGAAACCCAAGUUUGAUCCUAGAAAACCAGAAAGGAGAAUGCCCCAUUCCAGAAGGCAGACAGAAGAUGCCUUUGCUGACUUGUGCUCUGUCAACUCAAAGACCAGAGCUGUUUGGGAAGAGCGAAGCUCAGUUGAGAAAAUGCCUGCACCAGAAUGGCCUGUGGGGAAGCCUGCAGUGCAUAUUCUUGAUUGAUGAUUGAUGCGGAAGGGCCCAGCUCACUGUGGGUGGUGCCACCCCUGAGCUGGUAAUGCUGGGUGCAUAAAAAAAUCAACCUGAACAAGCAAUAGAAGGAGCAAGCAAUAAGAAGCAUUCUUACACCACCACCUCUGCUUCAGUUCCUGCCCUGACUCAAGGAAUGAUAGGCUUUUCUGUAAUGUGAAAUAAACACUUUCCUCCCCAA
rnacentral:lncRNA from 1 species